CUCAUCCGGGUUCAGGAUGUGCAGCAUGUCAUCAAAUAUGGGCUGCAGGUCGCACGGGUCCAGACGUACCUGCCGGAGCACAGUGUCUUUCUUCUCUGGAGGGGGAACAGAGAGGGGCCAAAACACAUUAUCACGAUACUUUCAACAAAGACGUCAUCCUUCUUCCGAGGCCAUCAAGCAGUGUUGUUGUCAAACAUCGCACAAAGCAACAGUUACACGAAAAAGGACAUAUAUUGAAUGGAUUUGAAUUCCAGAAAUCCUGGGACCAGAGGAGUGUCACUGAACAAAUGCGGGAUCUCUGCUGAUGUGAGCCUCGAGUUUCUGAUGACAUGUGGCAACAGAUUGAUUUCACCCAAACUGCGUGCUGGACAAGAGCUGGAUGCAAAUCUCAUACAUAAAGUCUAUAAAUCCAAAGCCCUAUACAUCAGACCAUCAAUCCCUCAGCCAAUUUUGGAUGAUAUUACAGGCUAUAGCAGUGAGGACAACAUUUGUGAGGAAAACACUGGUUCAGCAAGGCAGCUGCGCUCCUCAUCUCUAACAGGAAAUAGACACUCACAUGCAUCUUCAGACGGUUUCACCAGCCGAAUGACUGCCUCCCCACCAACCCGUACCUCUGCAGUUCAACUUUUUGCCUCAUCACCUGGGUGUGAAGCGUUAGUCACUCAAACUCCUGCCUUGACAUACCAAAGCAGUAUCUCAACCAACCACAGCAGCACUUCAGCAAGCAGUUCUUCUAGUCAAUUGUCAGUGUGCUCACUGGAAAGCUGCCCUUCCACCAGUCAGCCUUCUACCUCAUCAUUUGGAGGAACACCUUCAGUUGAUCCAACUCUGGUCCUGACUUGCCAAAACAGCUCAAGCUCACCCUACCAGAGCAGCACUCCAGCAAGUCUUUGUUCUGUGUUACCCUCUAC